GGGGCGCCCCCGGCCUGAGACUCCCUGGAAGCCUCGUCCGCGAGUCGCGGACUCGGGGCCCGGAGGGCGGCGGGAGGUCCUGCGCUGCGGUGCGGCUAUAGCGCCCGCGCUCCCCGCGGAAGAACCGCCGAGUCGAGCGCUGAAGGUGUGGCCCACCAGCAGGAGUGUCAGAACGUGCCGAGCCGCUCGAGUCGGAGUCGCCAGAACCCCCGGAAGACGAGCCGUUCACCGGCAGGCCAACUGGGGCUUCUUCGUGUAGUGGACUGACAGCCAAGCGUCGGGAACGCAGUGUCGUGGGUGUGCGGCUGACCGGGUGAGGAGGAUCUUUCACAGAGACCGUGCCCCUCCGUGGAGUCCAGGAACAGGGCUGCACCUGCAGCAUAUGGACGUUCCCAGGCUAGAGGUCAAAUCAGAGGUACAGCUGCCGGCCUACGUCACAGCCACGGCACCUCAGGAUCUGAGCUGCAUCUGUGACCUACAUCACAGCUCACAGCAACACCGGAUCUUUAACCCACUGAGCAAGGCCAGGCCUCGAACCUGCAUCCUCAUGGAUACUAGUCGCCUUUGUUAACCACUGAGCCAUGAUGGGAACUCAUAUAAUUCCUGAUACAAUGUAAAGGCCAUGUAAUUAGUUGGCAGCACAGGACAAAUUCAAGUUUUGUUUUUUGGAAAUUCGUUUCAAAUAUUUUCCACCCAAAGUUGGUUGAAUCCAUGGAUGAGGUACCCACGGUUAGGAAGAGAUGACUGUACUAUAAUUACCUGCUCAUGUGGCUGUUUAUCCCACUACUGUGUGGGAUUCUUUUUUUCCUUUUUGGCCACCCCUUGCCCUGUGGAAGUUCCCCAGCCCGUGCCACAGCAGCGGCAAUGCCAAAUCCUUAACCCAUUCAGCCCCAGGGAGCUCCCACUGUGGGAUUCUUAACAUAGGGUAUUGUCUUAAUCAUCUCAAUGCCCAGCCACUCUCAGGUCAAUUACUAAUGUUUCCUUGACAGUCGUGUACUAAGAGCUGGGCAUGUUUCACCACUGAUUCCUUGCCAUAAGCCUUUAAUGUAGGCGCUGAGUUGGUGUCACACCACUUUCAACAGAUAAGUGAUCCUCUCCAGGUGACACAGGUAGUAAAUGGUGGAGCCAGUCUCAGGUUUAGCCGUCCUGCCUUCUUUUCUGAGUCCAUGAAGGAAUGGAAAGUCUAGACACAGCUGACGCUGUGGGUCCUGAGCAAGUUCCCUUUCCCAGGCUUAGUUGUAUCACGUUUCGUCAUCUCUUUUUAAGUUUUAGUCAUAUUUUAUUUUUGUUUUUGUCCUUUUAGGGCCGCGCCUGCAGCAUAGGGAAGUUCCCAGGAUGGGGUCUAAUCAAGAGCUGUAGCCACCGGCCUAUGCCACAGCCACAGCCACCUGGGAUCCGAGCCGCGUCUUCAACCUACACCGCAGCUCACAGCAACACUGGAUCCCCAAGCCACUGGGUGAGGCCAGGGAUCAAACCCACAACUUCAUGGUUCCUAGUCGAAUAUGUUUCUGCUGCACCAUGAUGGGAACUCCUGUACCCUUGUCUUUAAGAGAUAAAACCUCCUUAGAAGAUUAGAAAGGCGGACUCUUCUUCCCCUUCCCAGUGUCCGUGCUGGCAGCUAUUUGCUUUCCUGUAAUAAAGACUUGCUUGCUCGC
rnacentral:lncRNA from 1 species